rnacentral:rRNA from 1 species
GAUGAACGCUGGCGGCGUGCCUAAUACAUGCAAGUCGAGCGAACGGACGAGAAGCUUGCUUUUCUGAUGUUAGCGGCGGACGGGUGAGUAACACGUGGAUAACCUACCUAUAAGACUGGGAUAACUUCGGGAAAACGGAGCUAAUAUCGGAUAAUAUUUUGAACCGCAUGGUUCAAAAGUGAAAGACGGUCUUGCUGUCACUUAUAGAUGUAUCCGCGCUGCAUUAGCUAGUUGGUAAGGUAAAGGCUUACCAAGGCAACGAUGCAUAGCCGACCUGAGAGGGUGAUCGGCCACACUGGGACUGAGACACGGCCCAGACCCCUACGGGAGGCAGCAGUAGGGAAUCUUCCGCAAUGGGCGAAAGCCUGACGGAGCAACGCCGCGUGAGUGAUGAAGGUCUUCGGAUCGUAAAACUCUGUUGUUAGGGAAGAACAUAUGUGUAAGAAACAGUGCACAUCUUGACGGUACCUAAUCAGAAAGCCACGGCUAACUACGUG